CGACAUUACCAUAGUAGCAUCUUACAUGGAAAGACAGAUCACUCCAACCUCAGGAAAAGGGCCUUCUGGAGGGCAUGAGUUAUUGGCAAUGGGAUGCAGUAAUUACCAAGUGAGCUGCAAGCUGCUCUACUUGGCCUGACCUCAACGACUCUACAAGGUUCCCUGUGUUACCUGAAAUUCCAGACUGGAGAAGUGUGGAACAACCAACAGGACAAUGGCCCAA